UACGAAGGGGGCUAGCGUUGUUCGGAAUCACUGGGCGUAAAGGGCGCGUAGGCGGCCUGAUAAGUCGGGGGUGAAAGCCUGUGGCUCAACCACAGAAUUGCCUUCGAUACUGUUAGGCUUGAGACCGGAAGAGGUAAGUGGAACUGCGAGUGUAGAGGUUAAAUUCGUAGAUAUUCGCAAGAACACCAGUGGCGAAGGCGGCUUACUGGUCCGGUUCUGACGCUGAGGCGCGAAAGCGUGGGGAGCAAACAGG
rnacentral:rRNA from 1 species